GGCUCGUUGGUCUAGGGCUGUGAUUCUUGCUUGGGGUACGAGAGGUUCCCAGGUUCAACUCCUGGAUGAGCCC